AGGAGAGUUUGAUCCUGGCUCAGGAUGAACGCUAGCGGCAGGCCUAACACAUGCAAGUCGAGGGGCAGCGGGAGGUAGCAAUACCUUGCCGGCGACCGGCGCACGGGUGCGUAACGCGUAUGCAACCUACCUUCAACAGGGGGAUAACCCAGAGAAAUCCGGACUAAUACCCCGUAUAGUAGCGAGACCGCAUGAUCUUGCUACGAAAGCUUCGGUGGUUGGAGAUGGGCAUGCGUGACAUUAGCUAGUUGGCGGGGCAACGGCCCACCAAGGCUGCGAUGUCUAGGGGAGCUGAGAGGCUAAUCCCCCACACUGGUACUGAGACACGGACCAGACUCCUACGGGAGGCAGCAGUGAGGAAUAUUGGUCAAUGGACGGAAGUCUGAACCAGCCAUGCCGCGUGAAGGAAGAAGGCCCUAUGGGUUGUAAACUUCUUUUGUGCGAGAGUAAUAAGGGCUUUGCGAAGUCCGAUGAGAGUAUCGUACGAAUAAGCAUCGGCUAACUCCGUGCCAGCAGCCGCGGUAAUACGGAGGAUGCAAGCGUUAUCCGGAUUUAUUGGGUUUAAAGGGUGCGUAGGCGGACCUUUAAGUCAGCGGUGAAAUAUCCCGGCUCAACCGGGAGGCUGCCGUUGAUACUGGGGGUCUUGAGGGCGAACGGCGCCGGCGGAAUGUGUCAUGUAGCGGUGAAAUGCAUAGAUAUGACACAGAACACCGAUCGCGAAGGCAGCUGGCGAGGACGCGACUGACGCUGAGGCACGAAGGUGCGGGGAUCAAACAGGAUUAGAUACCCUGGUAGUCCCCU
rnacentral:rRNA from 1 species